rnacentral:misc_RNA from 1 species
CAGAGUCUUCAGAACUCCAAACCUUUGUGAACCUAUACAUUGUUGCUUCGGCGGGCUGCCGGGCGGCCCAGCGCCCCCGCGUCGCCCGCCGAAGGCCCAAACUCUUGUUUUCUAGCGGUAUCUUCUGAGUCUAUAAAUAAGCAAUCA